ACCGGCUGUCAGUCCUGGUCGCUGGGGCUGGAUGCCCUGUUAGGUGGGCCCGUUCCGGGGCUCUGCUCUGCGGCUCAGCCGAGGCCUCCGUGGCCGGGGUCCAGCCCGGGCCCUGCCUCCCGGGCGGCGGGAGGUGCCCACGGCCUGGGGUUCCCGGGCCCGGCCCUUCCGCGGGGCGCGGGGAGGGGCCGUGGGCCUUGGGGCUGGGGCGGGAGAGCUGAAGGGGGUCGCGGGACCCCUGAACCUGGGCGCAGCCGCCCGAGCGCCCCGAGCGCCCCGAGCGCCCCGAGCGCCCCAGCGCAGGUGCGCAUCCCCCUGGCGGGGCCGGCGGGGACCCCGCGGUUUCCGCCCCGCCCCGCGGCCCCGGAGCCCCGAGCCGGCGGGCCCUGCGGCCGUGGGGGGCAGUACCUGGCGAGGCGGCCGGCUCCCGCCCGGGCGGUCCGCAGCUCAGUCCCCGCCGCCGCGCCGGGCGCCCCCGGGGACGCGGCCUGCCGCUCCGAGUCGGCAUCGAGUGCCGCGUUCCGCAUCCGCCAGACCACGAUCGCGCGGCCAGCCCGCCCCGGGCCGCGGGGGCGGACCGCCGGGGGCCCUGGCGGAGGCCCAGGCGGCCGUGUCGGGGACCACGGCGGCCGGACGCGCCUCGGCCGCGCCUUUGGCGCCCCCGCCCCGCCCCGCGCUGCGUCCCGACCUCGCCGGGCCCCGGGCGCCUCCUCCCGCGGACUCUCCAGGGGCGGGGCCGGGGCAGGGCGGGCACAGCCUCGGGAGCCCCGCCCGGGCGACGAGAGCAUCCACCACCAGGGCCGCUCGUCGCAGCCACGUCCAGUCCUGGCUCCUCCCUCGACCGCUCUGGGGUGUGCUGGCUGCAAACUGCGUGCGCUCCGGUCCGCACUGCGCACGGCAGGGACGAGCUCCCACGGGUGGGCUUUUUUUUUUAAUUUUUAUUUAUUUAUGAUAGUCACAGAGAGAGAGAGAGAGAGAGAGAGGCAGAGACACAGGCAGAGGGAGAAGCAGGCUCCAUGCACCGGGAGCCCGAUGUGGGAUUCGAUCCCGGGUCUCCAGGAUCGCGCCCUGGGCCAAAGGCAGGCGCCAAACCGCUGCGCCACCCAGGGAUCCCGAGAAAGCUCUUCUUAA
rnacentral:lncRNA from 12 species